AUGGACGUCAAGUGCCCCAACGGCUCCGUCAAGAAGGUGAGGCAGGCGGCGCCGGGGGUGGAAGAGGAGACGUACGUGGAGUGCGGCAGAAACCAUGCGCUGGCUAGCGGUGGGCACGUUGUGGACGGCUGCGGGGAGUGGAUGCCACUGGGGGACCACAACCCCGCCGACAUGUCGUCGUACAAGUGUGCGGCCUGCGGCUGCCACCGCAACUUUCACCGCAAGGUGAUGACAGAGAGGUCGCCGCCGCCGCCGCCCAUGGCGGCGACCGUGCUCCAUGGCCUGCCGCAGCGCAGGGAGAAGAUGUUGGAGGACCAGCUCCCGGGCGUCGACUCUGACACCGACUCGGAUGGCACGGAGUAUGACUCGGAUGCCACAGAGAAGCGGUCUCGCACCAUGUUCACAGCUGACCAGAAGUUGCGGAUGCAGGAGCUGUCGGAGCACCUGGGGCGGCGUCUGCAGAAGCGCGACAAGGACAUCAUCGAAGCAAGGUGCCACGACAUCAGCAUCAGCAAGAACGUCUUUAGGAACUGGAUGAACAACAAGAAGCGCAAGUAG
rnacentral:rRNA from 1 species